rnacentral:rRNA from 1 species
GAUGAACGCUGGCGGCAUGCCUAACACAUGCAAGUCGGACGGCAACACGGGUUUCCAGUGGCGUUCGGGGGAGCAACGCGCAAGAACCUGCCCUAGGGAGGGGAACAACCGCUGGCAACGGCUGCAAAGACCCCGUAGGCAGGGGAGUACAAGGAGGAACCCGCCCGAGGAGGCGCUCGGGUUUGAUUACUUAGUUGGUGGGGCAAUGGCUUACCAAGGCGAUGAUCCGUAGCUGGUCCGAGAGGCGGAUGAGCCACACUGGAACUGAGAGACGGGCCAGACUCGGACGGGGAGCCGCAGUGGGGAAUAUCGGACAACGGGAGCAAGCCUUUUCCAGCAAUGCGGGAUGGGUGAAGAAGGCAUUCGGGUUGGAAAGCCGAAGGGUUGGGAAAGAAGAGCAGCAGUUUCAGAAGAAGCUGUAAUGACGGUAUCUAAAGAAUAAGCACCGGCUAACUCCGUG